rnacentral:lncRNA from 1 species
GUCCAUACUAGCAAAAUGCAAAAAAAACCUCCACAAGAUCAAGAUGAUCAGCUAGUAACCUAAUUGUCUCUAGGUAAAAAACCAACAUUCUUCAGAAGAUCACAAAAUUGCAUAGUCUGUUACAAUACACAGUCCAACACACAGUAAAAAAUUGCCAGGUAUGCAAAAACAAACAAAAAUAAUAUCUAAAAUGUGAUGCUGUGAAGGGGAGCCCAAAAUAGCUGAAUAGCAUUCCUGAGUUAA